UCCUCCUGCAAAGGCGUGUUUUUGGUUCCCUGUCCUUGGCCAUGUAAGAAUUGGAAGCAAAGAAAUAUGGUGGAUUUGGAAAGGUCUGGGACCACCUUGCCCCACAGGCUCAGGAUCCCACAGAG
ensembl:snoRNA LOC120094892 small nucleolar RNA SNORA38